UACGAAGGGGGCUAGCGUUGCUCGGAAUCACUGGGCGUAAAGCGCACGUAGGCGGACUCUUAAGUCGGUGGUGAAAUCCUGGAGCUCAACUCCAGAACUGCCCUUCGAUACUGAGAGUCUCGAGUCCGGGAGAGGUGAGUGGAAUUCCCAGUGUAGCGGUGAAAUGCGUAGAUAUUGGGAGGAACACCGGUGGCGAAGGCGGCUACCUGGACCGGUACUGAGCUGAGGCGCGAAAGCUAGGGGUAGCAAAACAGG
rnacentral:rRNA from 1 species